AGAGUUUGAUUAUGGCUCAGGAUGAACGCUGGCGGCGUGCCUAACACAUGCAAGUCGAACGGAACUAAGCGCUUCGGAGACUUCGGUCAAUGUUUGCUUGGUUUAGUGGCGGACGGGUGAGUAACGCGUGGAUAACCUGCCUCAUACAGGGGGAUAACAGUUAGAAAUGACUGCUAAUACCGCAUAAGCGCACAGUUUCGCAUGGAACAGUGUGAAAAACUCCGGUGGUAUGAGAUGGAUCCGCGUCUGAUUAGCUAGUUGGCGGGGUAACAGCCCACCAAGGCGACGAUCAGUAGCCGGCCUGAGAGGGUGAACGGCCACAUUGGGACCGAGACACGGCCCAAACUCCUACGGGAGGCAGCAGUGGGGGAUAUUGCACAAUGGGGGAAACCCUGAUGCAGCGAACCGCCGCGUGAGUGAAGAAGUAUUUCGGUAUGUAAAGCUCUAUCAGCAGGGAAGAUAAUGACGGUACCUGACUAAGAAGCACCGGCUAAAUACGUGCCAGCAGCGGC
rnacentral:rRNA from 1 species